UGCCAGACUCCUACGGGAGGCAGCAGUAGGGAAUUUUGCGCAAUGGGGGAAACCCUGACGCAGCAACACCGCGUGAAUGUUAAGCCCUUCGGGGUGUAAAGUUCUGUCAAUAGGGACGAAUUUUGACUGUACCUAUAAAGGAAGCACCGGCUAACUCCGUGCCAGCAGCCGCGGUAAUACGUAGGGGGCAAGCGUUAUCCGGAUUUACUGGGUGUAAAGGGAGCGUAGACGGCAGCGCAAGUCUGAAGUGAAAUCCCAUGGCUUAACCAUGGAACUGCUUUGGAAACUGUGCAGCUGGAGUGCAGGAGAGGUAAGCGGAAGUCCUAGUGUAGCGGUGAAAUGCGUAGAUAUUAGGAGGAACACCUGUGGCGAAGGCGGCUUACUGGACUGUAACUGACGUUGAGGCUCGAAAGCGUGGGGAGCAAACAGGAUUAGAUACCCCCGUAACU
rnacentral:rRNA from 1 species